GGGCAAUACCAAACAAGCCUUAAGCAGUACACCUCUCUCAAGUGAAAAUGGCAGGUCCUUCCAUCAAAGCCACUAGAAGGUGGCCCUGAGCGCUGGCCGCAAAGAACUGCAGCCCAUUCUGCAAUUUCUGUGCCUGCCCACCUCCCAGCUACACUGCGGCGGGUGUCCCUGCUCCUAAAAGCCACAGCAGGAGACCUAUUCCAGCUCUCUGCCGAUUCACCUCCCCCAGGUAAAAGGCAGCCGACAGGCCAAAGAACAUCUUCUCUGACAGAGUAAUUUCUUCAAAAGCCAAAGCAAGAAAACCUAGGAAUCCCUGUGCCAAGUGGGAGAUCCUGGACCUCUGGAUGGAGCUCAGCCCCAGGAAGAGUCACGAAGCAAGGAUGUGUGCUGUCCUAGAGGCAAGGACCAGACACUGGGAUGCCGGGGAAGAGAGGUAGGGGCUGAGUUCCGGACUGCCCCCGGGAACACUGGACAGGAAGACCGUUAAGUGGAAGGUGUGGCCUCUUACAGGGUAGAGGGGCUUCCUUCUGCGAGUGUCCCUCUCCAGACCUACUCAAUAUACCGUCAGAGACGUCACUGUCCUGAAGCUCUACCAUGCACUGUCCCGAGAAUGGCCACAAGCCACUGGGGCUAUUCAUGUUCAAAUUUAAAUUGAUUAAAAUUAAAUAAAACCCAAAAUUCAGUCAUUCUAGCCACAUUUCCAGGGCUCCAGGGCUCCAGAGCCCUACGUGGCUAGUGGCUACCAUACCGGACAGCACAACACAGAAUGUUUCCAUUG